rnacentral:rRNA from 1 species
GAUGUCCUACGGGGGGCAGCAGUGGGGAAUAUUGGGCAAUGGGCACAAGCCUGACCCAGCGACGCCGCGUGAAGGAAGAAGGCUUUCGGGUUGUAAACUUCUUUUCUCAGGGACGAAGAAAGUGACGGUACCUGAGGAAUAAGCCACGGCUAACUACGUGCCAGCAGCCGCGGUAAUACGUAGGUGGCAAGCGUUAUCCGGAUUUACUGGGUGUAAAGGGCGUGUAGGCAGGACUGCAAGUCAGACGUGAAAACCACGGGCUCAACCUGUGGCCUGCAUUUGAAACUGUAGUUCUUGAGUACUGG